UACGUAGGGUGCAAGCGUUGUCCGGAAUUAUUGGGCGUAAAGAGCUCGUAGGCGGUCUGUCGCGUCUGCUGUGAAAACCUAGGGCUUAACCCUGGGCCUGCAGUGGGUACGGGCAGACUAGAGUGCGGUAGGGGAGACUGGAAUUCCUGGUGUAGCGGUGAAAUGCGCAGAUAUCAGGAAGAACACCCGUGGCUAAGGCGGCUCUCUAGUACGGUACUGACGCUGAGACGCGAAAGCGUGGGGAGCGAACAGG
rnacentral:rRNA from 1 species